CGUUGGCUUGCGUUAGCGAUUGAAAUGGCAUCCUUUUUAAUUUCUUUUAAAAUCAUGACCUUUCGACUGCGCUCAAGGUGACAAAUUAAAAAGAUAUAAUGGAAAGCACGACUUGGU
rnacentral:sRNA from 1 species